rnacentral:lncRNA from 1 species
AUCUCCAAAUGACAAAGCCAGCACCGUCUAUACCAUCUCUGACAUUGUCGUUGAAAUUAAUCUUGACAAACUCCGAGGACGGGGACUCCUAAGAAAUGAAGGUAACCCUUCGAUUCGCUGUAAGAACAGUAUAGGAGUCCCAAGACUCGAGAGUGUUACAAGAUAAGCCAACGGCAUCGAAACGACAAUACUCCUCAGCCAGCCAGUGA